GCGCCGGGAUGGUCGCCCGCAUUGUAUCGAUGCACCGCUGCCACGUGCAGGAAGUUCAACUCCACAAUCCGCGGCUGUUCUAUCUCGCUGCUAUUGGCGUGCCCCGCGCCAACUCCAUCGCCUCUGCUUCACUGGUAAAACAGUGCGACCUGAGGAACCACGGGGGUUCGAGGACGUCCAGCUCUGUAGUCCAAUUCGGUAUGAUUCACGUAAUCGAUAGCCCCCAUGUAGAAGCCCAGUAUGUAUUUUAUCAUCAGUUCUUAAAGGAAAGUUGAAUCAGUGUAGUGUGCGUGUUCAAAAAAUAAUUUCAGUUUUAUAUUUUAUAGAAAAUUUAUAAUAGUUCCCACUUUUCAGUCCAUCUACUUCCCGGUCACAAGUCCAAUUAGUAGAAAUUCAAAUAUGAAAAUAGCAUCCAUUUUGUUCUGGUAAUCAUCUUCAACCAAUUUGGUAUGUACCAGACUUGCAUAUGUUAAUUAGUAGGGUAGAUCUCUGUUGUAUAAGAAGCUAGAUGUUGAUUUGCAAUUAUGCUGUGACUAUGCUGUGACAAAGCUAGAUGUAGAUCUCUUACUACAAUUCUUUGUUCUUUUCAUUCUAAAAAGGCUACCUUAGCAGCACAACUACACUUUUUUUUCCUUUUCAGCUCUCAAACUGCAGCCUAGUUUUGUUGUCAGUUCUCUGUUUUUGAUGGAUCUGAUAUGGUUAGCCCUAUCUAGUUUUUCUGUAUGUACAGUGCUCUAGAAAAAUUUGUUGCUUCUUUCUUGUAGUACUAAUGUUGUUGCUUCUCCAAUCGAAUGUUGCUCAGCUUCCUCCCAAUCCGCUUGAUCUCGUCUUGCUCCGAAGCAUGCUUCAGUUCGACAAUAAGCUCUAGAAAGGUUCAGAGUACUUUGCACUUCAGGUUGUGGUUGGUCGUGUGUUAUGAUGUGUUCAUCGCUAGUUCCUAUAGAGACGUACUCUAUGUGAACUUUUCUGUUAUAGCUAAUUGAUCGAACAUAUCUCAUAGUGAUGUGGUUCCUUCUCUGUAUUUCUUUUGCUGUGGUGCACUACCAUAUUUGCAGAAAAAAUAAGUUCUUUUGUGAGAGAAUUCAGUCUGGAAUCAUGGGAAAAAGAGGAUACAUUGAGCUGGCUUUUUAUGGUUUGUCCAAUCUAUUUAAUUUGGUAUGUGUAGAAAAGAUGGUAUGUCUACAUACUAUCAUCUUGUUAGUUCCGAAUACUAUCAUUCUGGUAAGUUCAUAUGUUUUUGUUUUGAGAAGUGCAUAUCCCUCCAUGAAUACUAUCCUGGUGUCCUAGCCUCUUGAUAUGCCCAUGAGAACUGAUACAAUUUUUUCUGCAGGUUUCCUUGUUGAUUUAUGAGGGCUACACAAGUUUAAUUUUUACGGAAGUUGAACUCUAGGAUAUGGAGUUUGAUGGAUGUGGAGGUUGUGUCAAAUAUUUCUGGUUUAUGAAUUUUCUGAUUAAUACCAAGGAUCAGUGCCCUAGCCUAGCAUAUCAUAGAAAUGCCGGGUUGCAUGUCAGUGCGUACCUAUGGUCAUCGUCUUUGGACCAGGGUCCUUUUGUUUUGGUGUGGUAGCUUCUGGCUGCCCAUUCUUUAGUACUGGAGCAUAGCAUUCUGCGUUGUUUAAGCAAACAUUUAAAUUGUAUUACAAAUUGUUCUUCUUCCCUCUGUUCCACAAAAGAUUGUGUGUUCUUUUUUGAAUGUAUGUUAGAAAGAAGGGCAGAAAACAGUAGCAGAUAGAAAACAGUAGCAAAAGUUCAAAGUUCAAACUUUCAUCAGUCCAGUAUACAAAAAGCAACAAAAAGUUCACUCUAAAAAAACACCAGUAAUGUUAUGAUCUGAAUUUCCUUUGGCCAGUCUUUUUUAGUCUGUAGCAAAUAGAGUUCCCUCCAGUUCACUGACGCCUGCGCCACCGGGUGCAGCCACUGUGAGGCGGCGCCAACAAGCAGUAUGCACGGAGGCGGAGCAUCCUUCUAGUGUGUUUGCUGGACAGGAACAAUGUGUUGAUGUCGAGAAAAACAGAGACAAGGACCUGCACAAGUUUCGGCCAAGGAACCAUCAUCGGGCAGCAGGGUGUCCCCGGAGUUCUAUGCAACAACGGUCAUUGAACUCGGUAAGCCUUGCACAGAUAGCCUGUGCAAUGAUGAAUGCAUGAAGAUCUUUCCAGGUCCUGGCGACUGUGAGAAAGGCAAGUGCUUAUGGGGGUUUUGCUGAAGAAGAAAGGCCUAGCUUAACUGGCAUAGCAGUACUCAAAUCAGGUGUUGAUGUUGUGGAGGCUUUGGAUCUUUCCCUAGUUGCUUGACUCCAAUAAUAAUGCCUUUUGAGAUUGUACCAUUUGGUCGUCCUUUGGCCUUGUAUCGAACUUCUAGUCAUCUUGUUACAUCAGUUCAAAAGCAUAGAGGUGGCACUGCUGUAGCGAUCUUAUCCGCGACCA